ACCUAAUAGAUACCCCGGUAGUCCACGCCCUAAACGAUGCGAACUGGAUGUUGGGUACAUUACGGUACUCAGUGUCGAAAGCUAAACGCGUUAAGUUCGCCGCCUGGGGAGUACGGUCGCAAGACUGAAACUCAAAGGAAUUGACGGGGGUCCCGCACAAGCGGUGGAGUAUGUGGUUUAAUUCGAUGCAACGCGAAGAACCUUACCUGGCCUUGACAUCUGUCGAAUCCUGCAGAGAUGCGGGUAGUGCCGCAAGGAACGACAAGACAGGUGCUGCAUGGCUGUCGUCAGCUCGUGUCGUGAGAUGUUGGGUUAACGUCCCGCAACGAGCGCAACCCUUGUCCCUAGUUGCCAGCACAUCAUGGUGGG
rnacentral:rRNA from 1 species